GACGAACGCUGGCGGCGUGCUUAACACAUGCAAGUCGAACGGAAAGGCCCUGCUUUUGUGGGGUGCUCGAGUGGCGAACGGGUGAGUAACACGUGAGUAACCUGCCCUUGACUUUGGGAUAACUUCAGGAAACUGGGGCUAAUACCGGAUAGGAGCUCCUGCUGCAUGGUGGGGGUUGGAAAGUUUCGGCGGUUGGGGAUGGACUCGCGGCUUAUCAGCUUGUUGGUGGGGUAGUGGCUUACCAAGGCUUUGACGGGUAGCCGGCCUGAGAGGGAGACCGGCCACAUUGGGACUGAGAUACGGCCCAGACUCCUACGGGAGGCAGCAGUGGGGAAUAUUGCACAAUGGGCGGAAGCCUGAUGCAGCAACGCCGCGUGCGGGAUGACGGCCUUCGGGUUGUAAACCGCUUUCGCCUGUGACGAAGCGUGAGUGACGGUAAUGGGUAAAGAAGCACCAGCUAACUACGUG
rnacentral:rRNA from 1 species